rnacentral:rRNA from 1 species
UGCCAGCCGCCGCGGUAAUACGGAGGAUGCAGGCGUUAUCCGGAUUUACUGGGUUUAAAGGGUGCGCAGGCGGGACGAUAAGUCAGUGGUGAAAUCCUACAGCUUAACUGUAGAACUGCCAUUGAUACUGAUAGACUUGAAUAUAGUUGGAGUAGGCGGAAUAUGUAGUGUAGCGAUGAAAUGCUUAGAUAUUACAUAGAACACCGAUAGCGAAGGCAGCUUACUAAACUAUUAUUGACGCUCAUGAACGAAAGCGUGGGGAGCGAACAGGAUUAGAUA